AAUAAUAUUAAAUUGAGAUGGUUUUUGAUAUAUGAGGAAAACCAUUGUUACUGUUAAAGAGUUGUUUUACUUUCACCCCCCGAUUAACCUUUGAGAAUUCACUUUUUUUACAAUUGUAUGAUUCCAUACCCAGUAAUUCUUCACAUAACCAUAAUCCAAAGUCAGUUGACGACAGCUAACUAAAUAGCUCUGGUAUUACCAGUAGUUUUGCCUUAUUAAGGUGUCAUCUGUACAACAUAUGGCACUUUCUGAAACAAGCCUGUCCUCUUCUAGAACCUGAGUUGAAUGUGAUUCUGUAUCUUGAAACGGACUCAUAACAAUAUGAAAGCCUGGGGAUUAAUUGUGAUAAUCUCCCUUAACCGUUCAGUUGUACCACUUGAAUUAUUGUUGCUAUUUAUUUGUUUUAGACGCAUGUUCAGCACUUGUUCUUCAUGUUUUUUGCUUUGCUGUUGAGCCUAGAUGAACCUGUUAUGGAGAUCUGUCUGCUUUUUUUUUGUUUUGUUUUUUCUACUGUUACCCAUUGAUGGACGGAAAAUAUUAAAUAUUACAGUAAAAGCUUAUUGAUGCUUAA